UACAGAGGGUGCGAGCGUUAAUCGGAAUUACUGGGCGUAAAGCGCACGUAGGCGGCUUGGUAUGUCGGGUGUGAAAUCCCCGGGCUCAACCUGGGAACUGCAUCCGAAACUGCCUUGCUCGAGUAUGGGAGAGGGAAGUGGAAUUUCCGGUGUAGCGGUGAAAUGCGUAGAUAUCGAGAGGAACACCAGUGGCGAAGGCGAGUCCCUGGACAGAUCCUGACGCUGAGGCACGAAAGCUAGGGGAGCAAACAGG
rnacentral:rRNA from 1 species